rnacentral:rRNA from 1 species
GUCGAACGAGACUUUUUAUUUGAUGCUUGCAUCUUUUAAAAAGUUGAGUGGCGAACGGGUGAGUAACACGUGGGUAACCUGCCUUAAAGUGGGGGAUAACACUUGGAAACAGGUGCUAAUACCGCAUAACCAUCAAAACCGCCUGGUUUUGAUGUUAAAGAUGGUUCUGCUAUCGCUUUAAGAUGGACCCGCGGCGUAUUAGCUAGUUGGUGAGGUAACGGCUUAUCAAGGCAAUGAUACGUAGCCGAACUGAGAGGUUGAUCGGCCACAUUGGGACUGAGACACGGCCCAAACUCCUACGGGAGGCAGCAGUAGGGAAUCUUCCACAAUGGACGAAAGUCUGAUGGAGCAACGCCGCGUGAGUGAAGAAGGUUUUCGGAUCGUAAAACUCUGUUGUCAGAGAAGAACGUGUGUGAGAGUAACUGUUCACGCAGUGACGGUAUCUGACCAGAAAGUCACGGCUAACUACGUGCCAGCAGCCGCGGUAAUACGUAGGUGGCAAGCGUUGUCCGGAUUUAUUGGGCGUAAAGGGAACGCAGGCGGUCUUUUAAGUCUGAUGUGAAAGCCUUCGGCUUAACCGAAGUCGGGCAUUGGAAACUGGGAGACUUGAGUGCAGAAGAGGAGAGUGGAACUCCAUGUGUAGCGGUGAAAUGCGUAGAUAUAUGGAAGAACACCAGUGGCGAAAGCGGCUCUCUGGUCUGUAACUGACGCUGAGGUUCGAAAGCGUGGGUAGCAAACAGGAUUAGAUACCCUGGUAGUCCACGCCGUAAACGAUGAAUGCUAAGUGUUGGAGGGUUUC